GACGAACGCUGGCGGCGUGCUUAACACAUGCAAGUCGAACGGCAAGGCCCUGCUUUUGUGGGGUGCUCGAGUGGCGAACGGGUGAGUAACACGUGAGUAACCUGCCCUUGACUUUGGGAUAACUUCAGGAAACUGGGGCUAAUACCGGAUAGGAGCUCCUGCUGCAUGGUGGGGGUUGGAAAGUUUCGGCGGUUGGGGAUGGACUCGCGGCUUAUCAGCUUGUUGGUGGGGUAGUGGCUUACCCAGGCUGUGACGGGUAGCCGGCCUGAGAGGGUGACCGGCCACAUUGGGACUGAGAGACGGCCCAGACUCCUACGGGAGGCAGCAGUGGGGAAUAUUGCACAAUGGGCGGAAGCCGGAGGCAGCAACGCCGCGUGCGGGAUGACGGCCUUCGGGUUGUAAACCGCUUUCGCCUGUGACGAAGCGUGAGUGACGGUAAUGGGUAAAGAAGCACCGGCUAACUACGUG
rnacentral:rRNA from 1 species